rnacentral:sRNA from 1 species
CAAUUUUGUAUAAUUCUACACUUCUGCUACUGUUAGACAUUUUAUUAAAGAUAGUCCCUUUAACUGAAUAACCGUUAAAUGGUCAUCUAAGAUAAGCUUUGAUUAUUUAAAUAGAGAAAUAGAGAAGCUAAGAGAUCCCUGCUCCUACUUCCAUGACCACUGACGUCAUAAUUGCUCCUCACUUCGCGCACCUUCCAGCACUGCUAUUGUACUGUCGGCAAAUAUGGCGCCCGCUAGCAGUUGUUGUGCUGUCGUGUGCUUUUGUAACUAAAACUCCGUUUUGACAUCACUUUCAUCAUAAUCUGAAAAAAA